UACGUAGGUGGCAAGCGUUGUUCGGAUUUACUGGGCGUAAAGGGCGCGCAGGCGGUCUGUUAAGUCUGGGGUGAAAGCUCCCGGCUCAACUGGGAGAGGUCCUUGGAUACUGGCGGACUUGAGGGAGGCAGAGGAAAGUGGAAUUCCCGGUGUAGUGGUGAUAUGCGUAGAUAUCGGGAGGAACACCAGUGGCGAAGGCGGCUUUCUGGGCCUUACCUGACGCUGAGACGCGAAAGCGAGGGGAGCGAACCGG
rnacentral:rRNA from 1 species